rnacentral:rRNA from 1 species
CUUAGCGGCGGACGGGUGAGUAAUGCUUAGGAAUCUGCCUAUUAGUGGGGGACAACAUUUCGAAAGGAAUGCUAAUACCGCAUACGUCCUACGGGAGAAAGCAGGGGAUCUUCGGACCUUGCGCUAAUGGAUGAGCCUAAGUCGGAUUAGCUAGUUGGUGGGGUAAAGGCCUACCAAGGCGACGAUCUGUAGCGGGUCUGAGAGGAUGAUCCGCCACACUGGGACUGAGACACGGCCCAGACUCCUACGGGAGGCAGCAGUGGGGAAUAUUGGACAAUGGGCGCAAGCCUGAUCCAGCCAUGCCGCGUGUGUGAAGAAGGCCUUAUGGUUGUAAAGCACUUUAAGCGAGGAGGAGGCUACUGAAGUUAAUACCUUCAGAUAGUGGACGUUACUCGCAGAAUAAGCACCGGCUAACUCUGUGCCAGCAGCCGCGGUAAUACAGAGGGUGCAAGCGUUAAUCGGAUUUACUGGGCGUAAAGCGCGCGUAGGCGGCUAAUUAAGUCAAAUGUGAAAUCCCCGAGCUUAACUUGGGAAUUGCAUUCGAUACUGGUUAGCUAGAGUGUGGGAGAGGAUGGUAGAAUUCCAGGUGUAGCGGUGAAAUGCGUAGAGAUCUGGAGGAAUACCGAUGGCGAAGGCAGCCAUCUGGCCUAACACUGACGCUGAGGUGCGAAAGCAUGGGGAGCAAACAGGAUUAGAUACCCUGGUAGUCCAUGCCGUAAACGAUGUCUACUAGCCGUUGGGGCCUUUGAGGCUUUAGUGGCGCAGCUAACGCGAUAAGUAGACCGCCUGGGGAGUACGGUCGCAAGACUAAAAC